UGGCUUUGGAGGUGCAGUCACAUUGGAAAGUCGUGGGAGCCUGAGGUGCCCUCUGAUGGGCUUUAGGUGGCUUUAGGAUCUGACGCUGCUAUCUACAGACAGCUCUGAACAUUUGUUUUGUGCCCAUUGACCGGGGGUAAACACACUGAGUGACUUGAGGAAGCAAAGGCUCUGGAGAGGGUCCCUCACUAUGCUAGAUUCAUCCCGAGGAA
rnacentral:lncRNA from 1 species